UGAAAAGGAAAAGUCACUAAUUGCUGAGUGGGCUUGGGAAAGGCUUCCUGCAUGAGGUGCUGCCUCUCCCAGUGUGGCUUCUCUUUCCUAAAGCUGACUGGGCCCUUGGGUUAAGAAUCACUACUGGACUCUGUAGCAACUUACAGCUUCAAUGUCUAUUUCCAGAGCAUAAUGGUGACAAUCCUUCCUAUCCUUCCACAACCCUGAUGCUGAUGCAGUGGACCCCUUUUUGCAGGGUUCCAAGAAAUUAUGCAUCUGUUAGGGAGGAAAUUAACACCUCAAAGCAAACUAUAAUUAGGAAUUCUUCAAUUCAGUUUAUGCUUUUUCAAUUAGGUGCUCUAUAAUUUUAAUCAUGGGAGCAUUAACAUGUUUCUGUAAUUUAUAUACCUGUGGUAUAAUUAAGUCUUGAAAUGCAUUACUCACAACCUGAGCAGUACCUGCCUGUCUGCCUUUAGGUUGCCAGCUCCUUGGAUCUCUGGUUCCAAACAGGACCUGGUCUAGAGGGCCAUUGCUGGCAGGUAGACCUUGACCAUCAGGUAGAAUAGGAAGUCAAUUCUUGGCCAAGAACAUGUGGAGUGUAUGAAGAUCCUGAUGUUACCAGAGCUGUGGGGACAUAAGCCAUUUCGGUCUUUGGUAACCACUAAGGACAGCUAUUCUAGGAAACUAAUUUCAAUGAAACAGGGACACUAUGUCCUGGCAAGACUGGCAUUAAAUGAGCACAGUGGAGAACAGAUGGAUUUAAAUAGCAAGAACUGAACAAUAGCCUCCAACUUAGACUGGGGUGAGCCCAAAACUUUCCCUUCCUACUCAAUUGACUCAUUUUUUCUUUUUCCA